rnacentral:rRNA from 1 species
CCUACGGGAGGCAGCAGUGGGGAAUAUUGGACAAUGGGGGGAACCCUGAUCCAGCCAUGCCGCGUGUGUGAAGAAGGCCCUCGGGUUGUAAAGCACUUUCAGGGAGGAAGAACGCCUGGUGGUUAAUACCCAUCAGGAAAGACAUCACUCACAGAAGAAGCACCGGCUAACUCCGUGCCAGCAGCCGCGGUAAUACGGAGGGUGCGAGCGUUAAUCGGAAUUACUGGGCGUAAAGCGCGCGUAGGUGGCUUGAUAAGCCGGUUGUGAAAGCCCCGGGCUCAACCUGGGAACGGCAUCCGGAACUGUCAAGCUAGAGUGCAGGAGAGGAAGGUAGAAUUCCCGGUGUAGCGGUGAAAUGCGUAGAGAUCGGGAGGAAUACCAGUGGCGAAGGCGGCCUUCUGGACUGACACUGACACUGAGGUGCGAAAGCGUGGGUAGCAAACAGGAUUAGAUACCCUGGUAGUC